rnacentral:rRNA from 1 species
CCUCGGUGGCUGCAGUGGGGAAUAUUGGACAAUGGGCGAAAGCCUGAUCCAGCCAUGCCGCGUGUGUGAAGAAGGCCUUCGGGUUGUAAAGCACUUUCAGUGGGGAAGAAAGCCUUGGGGCUAAUACCCUCGAGGAAGGACAUCACCCACAGAAGAAGCACCGGCUAACUCCGUGCCAGCAGCCGCGGUAAUACGGAGGGUGCGAGCGUUAAUCGGAAUUACUGGGCGUAAAGCGCGCGUAGGCGGUCUGAUAAGCCGGUUGUGAAAGCCCCGGGCUCAACCUGGGAACGGCAUCCGGAACUGUCAGGCUAGAGUGCAGGAGAGGAAGGUAGAAUUCCCGGUGUCGCGGUGAAAUGCGUAGAGAUCGGGAGGAAUACCAGUGGCGAAGGCGGCCUUCUGGACUGACACUGACGCUGAGGUGCGAAAGCGUGGGUAGCAAACAGGAUUAGAUACCCCAGUAGUC